rnacentral:rRNA from 1 species
GACAGAGGGUGCAAACGUUGUUCGGAAUUACUGGGCGUAAAGCGCGUGUAGGCAGCUCGGAAAGUCGGAUGUGAAAGCCCUGGGCUCAACCUAGGAAGUGCAUUCGAAACUUCCGAGCUUGAGUGCUGGAGAGGAAGGCGGAAUUCUCGGUGUAGAGGUGAAAUUCGUAGAUAUCGAGAGGAACACCGGUGGCGAAGGCGGCCUUCUGGACAGUAACUGACGCUGAGACGCGAAAGCGUGGGGAGCAAACAGG